rnacentral:lncRNA from 1 species
CUACUAGGAGAUAUGUAUGCUAUGAGGCAUCUGAGAUGGGAGUAGUAGUCUGCCUAGUCUGCUGAUUGGGCUAGGCUGCUGUUUUUCUGCUGUUUGGGCUUGUAUGAUGCUGCUUAGCUAGGUUAGGAGUUUUAGGGGAGAUAUUGUUUGGUUGUUGUGCUCUGCUGUAUGACUGGGUAUAUUUCUUAUGCUGAAGUAGUCUGAAGUCUGUUGCUAUGUUCUUGGGUUUGCUGAUGUGCGGUGUGGGAGUGCUGAUGUUGACGUAGUUUGGAGCUUGUAUAGCAGUAGUGCUUCAGCUGCAGCUGCUUGUGAUGUCUCUGUGGUUUGGAGCUCCUCUGCUGCUUGCUGGUGGCUCACGGAUAUUUGAUGGCUGUGUAGUGCAACUUCUGUUAUGAGGUCUGACUGCAGGUCAACUGCUUGCUGUGGUUAGGCUGGCUGCUUUUUGCCCCUGCGGUCAUGAGCAGCUGAAUCUGAUAGUGCUACAGCAGUAGGUUUCGGUUCAUUUUUCUUUAUCCCUGCUGCAGGAAUGGGUCUAAGGAUGUUGAUGUGUGGUUAUCAACACCUUGUAUUGAUUUAGCUAUCUUUGCCUUGUAGUUCAGUAGUUGUGGUAUGCUAUGAAUCGACAGUUUUGGGCUUACUACACUUGCCGCAGAUGUUUGGGAUGCUUUGGGUUGAAAUUCUCCUUAGUAGGGAUCUUUAAAACAUCUCUAUAACAUGUCAUCGAAUCAGUCUCAAUAGCACUGACAGACAUUUUAAAAUUG